rnacentral:rRNA from 1 species
GAUGAACGCUGGCGGCGUGCCUAAUACAUGCAAGUCGAGCGAACAGACGAGGAGCUUGCUCCUUUGACGUUAGCGGCGGACGGGUGAGUAACACGUGGGUAACCUACCUAUAAGACUGGGAUAACUUCGGGAAACCGGAGCUAAUACCGGAGAAUAUUUCGAACCGCAUGGUUCGAUAGUGAAAGAUGGCUUUGCUAUCACUUAUAGAUGGACCUGCGCCGUAUUAGCUAGUUGGUAAGGUAACGGCUUACCAAGGCAACGAUACGUAGCCGACCUGAGAGGGUGAUCGGCCACACUGGAACUGAGACACGGUCCAGACUCCUACGGGAGGCAGCAGUAGGGAAUCUUCCGCAAUGGGCGAAAGCCUGACGGAGCAACGCCGCGUGAGUGAUGAAGGUCUUCGGAUCGUAAAACUCUGUUAUUAGGGAAGAACAAACGUGUAAGUAACUGUGCACGUCUUGACGGUACCUAAUCAGAAAGCCACGGCUAACUACGUG